AGAGUUUGAUCCUGGCUCAGGAUGAACGCUAGCUAUAGGCUUAACACAUGCAAGUCGAGGGGAAACGGCAUUAUGUGCUUGCACAUUUUGGACGUCGACCGGCGCACGGGUGAGUAUCGCGUAUCCAACCUUCCCUCCACUCGGGGAUACCCCGUUGAAAGACGGCCUAAUACCCGAUGUUGUCCACAUAUGGCAUCUGACGUGGACCAAAGAUUCAUCGGUGGAGGAUGGGGAUGCGUCUGAUUAGCUUGUUGGUGCGGGUAACGGCCCACCAAGGCGACGAUCAGUAGGGGUUCUGAGAGGAAGGUCCCCCACAUUGGAACUGAGACACGGUCCAAACUCCUACGGGAGGCAGCAGUGAGGAAUAUUGGUCAAUGGACGGAAGUCUGAACCAGCCAAGUAGCGUGCAGGAUGACGGCCCUAUGGGUUGUAAACUGCUUUUGUAUGGGGAUAAAGUUAGGGACGUGUCCCUAUUUGCAGGUACCAUACGAAUAAGGACCGGCUAAUUCCGUGCCAGCAGCCGCGGUAAUACGGAAGGUCCAGGCGUUAUCCGGAUUUAUUGGGUUUAAAGGGAGCGUAGGCUGGAGAUUAAGUGUGUUGUGAAAUGUAGACGCUCAACGUCUGACUUGCAGCGCAUACUGGUUUCCUUGAGUACGCACAACGUUGGCGGAAUUCGUCGUGUAGCGGUGAAAUGCUUAGAUAUGACGAAGAACUCCGAUUGCGAAGGCAGCUGACGGGAGCGCAACUGACGCUUAAGCUCGAAGGUGCGGGUAUCGAACAGGAUUAGAUACCCUGGUAGUCCGCACGGUAAACGAUGGAUGCCCGCUGUUGGUACCUGGUAUCAGCGGCUAAGCGAAAGCAUUAAGCAUCCCACCUGGGGAGUACGCCGGCAACGGUGAAACUCAAAGGAAUUGACGGGGGCCCG
rnacentral:rRNA from 1 species